rnacentral:rRNA from 1 species
UGGCUAUCUGGUCGUCCGCAAACCGCCGAGCGUAUCAAGGCGGUGCUGUAUUCGACGGCCUCGAUCCGCUCGAUCGCCUCGGUGGUGCAUGUGGAGGCGAACUCGUUCGACGUGCUGAUCGACCACACCGAUAUCGGUGCCGGCUGGGCGGAUGAGACCGCUGCGGCCAGCGAGACCGGGACGCCGCCGAUCGACCGUAUUUCGAUCCCGCUGCACGAGCUGAGCGCUCUGCCCAAGGCAAGCCAGCGCCUGCUGGAUGACAGCGCGUUCGAUAUCGAGGGCUGGCUGGCCGACCGCAUCGCCAACAAGUUCGCCCGCGCCGAGGCGCAGAGCUUUAUCAACGGGGACGGGGUCAACAAGCCGCGCGGUUUCCUGAACCAUGCCGCUGUCGACAAUGACAGCUGGACCUGGGGCAAUAUCGGCUAUGUCGCCUCGGGCGUGGCCGCUGGUGUGGAUGCCGAUGAUAUCGUCGAUCUGGUCUAUGCGCUGGGGGCGCAGUACCGCGCCAACGGGGCGUUCGUGAUGAACUCGAAAACCGCGGGCAACAUCCGCAAGCUGAAGGAUGCCGAUGGCCGCUUCCUGUGGUCGGAUGGUCUGGCGGCGGGAGAGCCUGCGCGGCUGAUGGGCUAUCCGGUGGUGAUCGCCGAGGACAUGCCCGACCCGGCAACCGACAGCUAUUCCAUCGCGUUCGGCGAUUUCAACGCGGGCUAUACCGUGGCCGAGCGUCCGGAUCUGCGCGUGCUGCGCGACCCGUUCAGCGCAAAACCCCAUGUGCUGUUCUA